CCACCGCACGGCCUGCCUCCUCGAUCCCAUCUCGACCUCCAGCCCCACCCCGCCUUGUCCUCCGCUGCCGCUCGCCGCCCACCCCCGCAGCCGCCACCUCCUGCCCCGCCCCGCGCCGCCGGUCGCGCUCGCAGCCGCCCCGCUCGGCGCACCCACCUCGCUCGAGGUUGGGCGAGCGCGGAAGUAGAGUUCGGGACGGCGGAUCGGAAUCCAUCGACCGAUUCUCUCUUUCUCUCCUCUCCCUUGGAUUCCUGUAGGCGGUGGAUCAAUCUUGCCUUCGUGGUGGCGGCAGAACGAGCGCCGUGAGAUCAGAUUCCUCCUGGUGCUUGGGACGUUUUCGGCUAGAUUGAUUUACUAGCUACGUCCAAGCAGGCCACUGGAUUGAUUUCAUGAGGCUUACUAGCUACGUCCCAAUCAAGAUAGCUAGACUUACUAGCUACGUCCCAAGCAGGCCAAUCCAAUAUGUUGAUCAAUUUGAUUGUUCUGGCUGGAGGUCAGGAGGUCAGAAGGUGCGUCCUUCACACUAAAUCGUACCCGAAGUUCUACAAUUAGUGCACUGCGGGAGCGUGUACUGCGACUAUUUCUGCACUGCCGAGGAAGGCUUGAUCUUUCCCACAGAAGCUCGCUUCGAGGUCUUGGUGUGGGGCUGCUGGGGAAGGGAAUGUCCUUCUACUUAGUGAAAGUCGUUGUUGCGCUAAAAUGUAGAUGUUAUGAUGACCAAUGACCAUAAACUUUUCUCAAGAAAUCUGGAAAGAAGCGAGGAUUCUCAAGCUUCUGACUUCUCUGAUUCUGCAAGCCUUGAGGCUGUGAAACAUCUAUGCUAGGUCGCCACACUUCUGCCACCUUCAUUUGAUGAGGUUCAGCGCUCACUACUAUGAAAGAAGAAGGCAUAUAUUUUCCUUGUGGAAUUUCCAGUAGAAUGACAGUGAGAACGAGUAAAAAUCUACAACAGUAUGACUGUAUGGUUCUCACUCAAAGUAGAGGCCCAACAAACUUUUUUGAAGUAGGAGUCGAAAACUACAAAUCCAUCUAUUCCUAGAAUGGAGCUGGUUGGAGUUGAGCCUACAAUUGAGCGGGUAGUUCGGUGGCACCGACAUCCAGCUGAAAGUUUUAUAGGAGGGUUAGUAAAGCAAAUUUGUUCAUGAGGAAAUGUGCCAGCAAAACAUUGAGUCAGAGUGCAAGACAAAUGCUCUUAACAGUUUUUUUGGUCGUUUUUCUUUAAUUACAAUUCUUAUUAUUUUUAGUUGGCAUUGAUGUACAAAAGAAAAUCCUGUGCCUUUUUUGUCCUCUCAUUGACCAUUGUAUUUUUGAGUCAUAUCAGUCUAUGUAAAAGAAUUCAGUACCUUAUGUUUUAUAUAUUUGGAAAUGUCUA